GUUUGAUCAUGGCUCAGAUUGAACGCUGGCGGCAGGCCUAACACAUGCAAGUCGAACGGUAACAGGAAACAGCUUGCUGUUUCGCUGACGAGUGGCGGACGGGUGAGUAAUGUCUGGGAAACUGCCUGAUGGAGGGGGAUAACUACUGGAAACGGUAGCUAAUACCGCAUAACGUCGCAAGACCAAAGAGGGGGACCUUCGGGCCUCUUGCCAUCAGAUGUGCCCAGAUGGGAUUAGCUAGUAGGUGGGGUAACGGCUCACCUAGGCGACGAUCCCUAGCUGGUCUGAGAGGAUGACCAGCCACACUGGAACUGAGACACGGUCCAGACUCCUACGGGAGGCAGCAGUGGGGAAUAUUGCACAAUGGGCGCAAGCCUGAUGCAGCCAUGCCGCGUGUAUGAAGAAGGCCUUCGGGUUGUAAAGUACUUUCAGCGGGGAGGAAGGGAGUAAAGUUAAUACCUUUGCUCAUUGACGUUACCCGCAGAAGAAGCACCGGCUAACUCCGUGCCAGCAGCCGCGGUAAUACGGAGGGUGCAAGCGUUAAUCGGAAUUACUGGGCGUAAAGCGCACGCAGGCGGUUUGUUAAGUCAGAUGUGAAAUCCCCGGGCUCAACCUGGGAACUGCAUCUGAUACUGGCAAGCUUGAGUCUCGUAGAGGGAGGUAGAAUUCCAGGUGUAGCGGUGAAAUGCGUAGAGAUCUGGAGGAAUACCGGUGGCGAANGCGGCCCCCUGGACGAAGACUGACGCUCANGUGCGAAAGCGUGGGGAGCAAACAGG
rnacentral:rRNA from 1 species